AGUGAAAUAUAUUGAUAGUUGACAAAACUUUUAGUGAAUUGAAACAUCUUAGUAACUAAGUUAUAAAAAUCAAAAGAGGUCACGUAACUUUCGGUGAGAAAAAGCGUGUACGUAAGCUUUUAAUAUUUAACGCGAGCUAAAAAUAUAGUUAUUUACCUUAGAGGGUUACAGUCCCGUAGCUUUUAAAGCUUUUAAAAAAGUAGGGUGAUUUUUUCGCUCGAAAAAAAGAGGGCCCACCCUCUUUUUAUAAACAACUUAAACUGAGCUAUAGCGAACGAGUACCGUGAGGGAAAGGUUGAAAAGAACCUUUUGAAGGAGUGAAAAUAGAUUAUGAAACUUUUUGCCAACUUUCACUUUUUUUAAAGUUACUUUUUGUAUAACGGCCUAGUGAGUUUUUUUUGUAAGCAAG
rnacentral:rRNA from 16 species